rnacentral:rRNA from 1 species
AUACGUAGGGGGCGAGCGUUGUCCGGAAUGAUUGGGCGUAAAGGGCGCGUAGGCGGCGCGGUAAGUCUGGAGUGAAAGUCCUGCUUUCAAGGUGGGAAUUGCUUUGGAUACUGCCGCGCUUGAGUGCAGGAGAGGUUAUCGGAAUUCCCGGUGUAGCGGUGAAAUGCGUAGAGAUCGGGAGGAGCACCAGUGGCGAAGGCGGGUAACUGGACUGCAACUGACGCUGAGGCGCGAAAGUGUGGGGAGCAAACAGGAUUAGAUACCCUGGUAGUCCACACUGUAAACGAUGAAUGCUAGGUGUAAGAGGUAUCGACCCCUUUUGUGCCGGAGUCAACACAAUAAGCAUUCCGCCUGGGGAGUACGGCCGCAAGGUUGAAACUCAAAUGAAUUGGCGGGG